rnacentral:rRNA from 1 species
UACAGAGGUCUCAAGCGUUGUUCGGAUUCAUUGGGCGUAAAGGGUGCGUAGGUGGCGUCGUAAGUCAGGUGUGAAAUCUCGGAGCUUAACUCCGAAACUGCAUUUGAUACUGCGGUGCUUGAGGGCUGGAGAGGAGACUGGAAUUUACGGUGUAGCAGUGAAAUGCGUAGAGAUCGUAAGGAAGACCAGUGGCGAAGGCGGGUCUCUGGACAGUUCCUGACACUGAGGCACGAAGGCCAGGGGAGCAAACGGG